GGGGCAGUAGCUCAGGGGGAGAGCAUCUGCUUUGCAAGCAGGAGGUCAGGGGUUCAAAUCCCCUCUGCUCCA
rnacentral:tRNA from 1 species